GAGGGUGAAUCGGCCACACUGGGACUGGAGACACGGCCCAGACUCCUACGGGAGCACAAUAGGGAAUCUUCGGCAAUGGACGAAAGUCUGACCGAGCAACGCCGCGUGAGUGAAGAAGGUUUUCGGAUCGUAAAACUCUGUUGUUAGAGAAGAACAAGGACGUUAGUAACUGAACGUCCCCUGACGGUAUCUAACCAGAAAGCCACGGCUAACUACGUGCCAGCAGCCGCGGUAAUACGUAGGUGGCAAGCGUUGUCCGGAUUUAUUGGGCGUAAAGCGAGCGCAGGCGGUUUCUUAAGUCUGAUGUGAAAGCCCCCGGCUCAACCGGGGAGGGUCAUUGGAAACUGGGAGACUUGAGUGCAGAAGAGGAGAGUGGAAUUCCAUGUGUAGCGGUGAAAUGCGUAGAUAUAUGGAGGAACACCAGUGGCGAAGGCGGCUCUCUGGUCUGUAACUGACGCUGAGGCUCGAAAGCGUGGGGAGCAAACAGGAUUAGAUACCCUGGUAGUCCACGCCGUAAACGAUGAGUGCUAAGUGUUGGAGGGUUUCCGCCCUUCAGUGCUGCAGCAAACGCAUUAAGCACUCCGCCUGGGGAGUACGACC
rnacentral:rRNA from 1 species